rnacentral:tRNA from 1 species
ACUUAAAUAGCUUAUAUUUAGAGUAUAAUAUUGAAGAUAUUAUGGAAAUUAUUUUUAAUUUUUAAGUA